UACGAAGGGUGCAAGCGUUAAUCGGAAUUACUGGGCGUAAAGGGUGCGUUGGCGGUUCGUUAAGUCUGUCGUGAAAUCCCCGGGCUCAACCUGGGAAUGGCGAUGGAUACUGGCGAGCUAGAGUGUGUCAGAGGAUGGUGGAAUUCCCGGUGUAGCGGUGAAAUGCGUAGAGAUCGGGAGGAACAUCAGUGGCGAAGGCGGCCAUCUGGGACAACACUGACGCUGAAGCACGAAAGCGUGGGGAGCAAACAGG
rnacentral:rRNA from 1 species